ACUCCUACGGGAGGCAGCAGUGGGGAAUUUUGGACAAUGGGCGAAAGCCUGAUCCAGCAAUCGCCGCGUGUGUGAAGAAGGCCUUCGGGUUGUAAAGCACUUUUGUCCGGAAAGAAAUCCCUGGCUCUAAUACAGUC
rnacentral:rRNA from 1 species